rnacentral:rRNA from 1 species
AUUGAACGCUGGCGGCAGGCCUAACACAUGCAAGUCGAACGGUAACAGGAAACAGCUUGCUGUUUCGCUGACGAGUGGCGGACGGGUGAGUAAUGUCUGGGAAACUGCCUGAUGGAGGGGGAUAACUACUGGAAACGGUAGCUAAUACCGCAUAACGUCGCAAGACCAAAGAGGGGGACCUUCGGGCCUCUUGCCAUCGGAUGUGCCCAGAUGGGAUUAGCUAGCAGGUGGGGUAACGGCUCACCUAGGCGACGAUCCCUAGCUGGUCUGAGAGGAUGACCAGCCACACUGGAACUGAGACACGGUCCAGACUCCUACGGGAGGCAGCAGUGGGGAAUAUUGCACAAUGGGCGCAAGCCUGAUGCAGCCAUGCCGCGUGUAUGAAGAAGGCCUUCGGGUUGUAAAGUACUUUCAGCGGGGAGGAAGGGAGUAAAGUUAAUACCUUUGCUCAUUGACGUUACCCGCAGAAGAAGCACCGGCUAACUCCGUG